CCUAAACGAAACUAAGAUUUAUCUUUUUAAUCGUUAGACGAUAUUUUAGAUUUUGAAGAUAUCCGAAAUUUUAUUUUUGACGCAUUACACAAUGCAAAUAGAAGAUGAGUUUACUUAAAAAGAUAAUGAAUUAUAUCUUUCCGACGUGCUUUGAAUUUCGAAUUUAAUUUAGGCAAUAUCUUUGUCUCCGGCAAUACUUUGUAAUAUUUAUCCUGAAUCAAUUCAAUAAAUUGAAUUUUUGAUUCCUCUGAAAUUUGAAAAGCAAUCCAAACUGGAUAUAUUCAUUGUUGAAUGAUAUAAAACUGUUUUAAUGUUUUCAUAAAAUGAUAUAUCAUUGAUAUUUCAAAGAAAGCAUUAUAAAUUCAAAAUCAUCUCGUGCAAAUGUGUGUGUAUAUAUACAUAUAUAUAUAUACAUAUACAUAUACAUAUAUCUGAAAGUGAAGGAUUCACGUGGCAUAGCCUCGUUUCAAAGAAGCCACAUCAUUGGACAUCUCUUGAUUCUCUCAUGCGUGAUACAGACGAUGUAACUCGACAUAUUUUUUUCAUCCCCCGUAACUCGUCAAACUUGAAAUUGAAUUUAACCGAAUUAAGAAAUGCGACACAAUAUCCUCAAUGACGUCGUUUUAUCCUCGUCAUAAGCUAUGACUAGACUAAUUCAGUGCAUUCGACAUAGAUGAACGAAUGAUUUUUCUUCGAAAUAGGCACUGCUACGAAAAAGAAUUACACGUUUGACCAUGAAUUGGCCUAAUUUACUAUUUAUCAAGAGCUCUGGGGUUUCUUUAUGAGCCGUAUUAGAAGAACGAGUGUGACGCAUUUUCAAAAUUACUACGACGACGAUCUUAUUCGAAGGAACUUAAAGGAUAAAAAUAAGAGAAAUGAGAGAAAGAGCAAGAGAAAGCGAGAAAAUGUAACAAUUAUUCGUACCUGGUGCUGUCGACGUUCGACGUGAUGUCGGAAUAAUUCAUUGUUCAGGAUUAUGCUCGAUCUUGUGGAUUUAAUGAUGCGUCUACGAAGAAGCGACGAGACAGCUGACUUUUUCGGGCUCUUACACUACACUGUCACAAAGCGUUGCUUCACGCGAGGUGAAGAAAAACGUGCGUGAUUGGACUUCCUAAUAUCUCUGCCCCUCUUAGUGCCUUAGUAAAAAAAAAAAAAAAAAAAAAAAACAAUCGUUCGAUCAGAUUAUUGGGUAAGAGUCACAGUUAUGGGGAGGACGAGAUAGAGUGGAAAAUCGUUGAUGUUGAUUAGCAGCGCCAUUCUCGUACGAUAACAUAAGCUUCGUUAUAUGCAUAAAAAGGUCACGUGACGUUACGAGCGUCAUCUCUCGCCAGAUCUAUGACGUAAAAUCAGUCUUUUUGUCGAUGUCGUCAAGAAUUAUUUCGAAAACGCAAUUAACUUACAGCACGCGCGUACUCUUUCCUUUAUAGUAAAGCGCAUAAUGCAAAUAUACUCGCCAAAUUUUAUUUUCGAGCACGUAACAUGCACGAUCAAUUAAUUAUUAAUACUUUUGUCGCUUUUCCAAUUUUUCAUAGGAAAUAAUCUACGUAAGUAGUACCUAGGGAACAUAAAACAUUUCGAUCUAUGUAUUGAUCGGCUAAACAUUACCUUCAAGAAUCUUCUAUUCCAAUUCGACGGGUUAUGGCCUUGCUCUUUGGAAUUCCACAACGUACGUUCACUUUUUUUCCUUCUUCUUAAACAAUUGAACGAGUUCGGUUAUUUGCUUUUCAGGCUUUCAACGCUUUUUCCAUGAAUUUUCAAUAACAUAUAUCGUUUUUUCAUUUUGCGUCAAUAAGGCGAAUCGUAAUACAUAUGUAUAUAUGUAUAAGUUAUUAACAAGUUGGAGACUUUGAUCGCUAAUAAAAAAUGUUUUUUACUAAUUCUCUCAUGGAUAUCUAUGAAUACAAAAACUGAUAUAUUUAUUUAUUUCUCUAUUACGUGGAUUGCUAAGAAGGAAUGCGAAGAGGGGGAAAAAAAAAUAAAAAAAAAAAAAAAAAAAAAAAAAAAAAAUGGAAGAGACAAUAGCGAAAUUAUUUUCUUUCGUAUUACCUCGAUUAAUGAUUCUUCUUCGUUUAUUAAUCGUGGCUUAGAUCUGUAAGAUUAUCGGCCAAGUAAUGUUAUCAAGUAAUGAAAUAAUGUACAGAUAAUUGUUGUUGGUGUUCCUUAGGAGCACAUAGAUAGUAUUUAUACCGCACGUAAUAUAUGCGAAUUCAAUACAAUUCUCGAUACCCUGUUCAAAAUAAUAUUGAAUACCUGUUCGAAAUGUAUACAAAGAAACUCGUUUUACUGCGUACAAUUCUUAAACACACACGUCAUCUGACCAUCUGCUUUAUUCGAUGUACAUGGCUUAUAGAACCGAAGAAAUAUAAUAUUCGUAUAUACACGUAUUCACAAUAGUGAAAUAGAAAGUUCGAACUUUGUUUGAUAGUUACCAAGGCAACCGAUUUUGUUCGCACUUAUUAUCAAUUUUUUAUUGACGCUUAUAUAAUACAUGUUAUACCUUAAAAGAGCAAGAUAUAUAUCAGGUAUGUAAAUUUAAUUAUUUACUUUUGUUCAAUAUCAACUCGUUAAAUCUCUGUGUUUCAUGUAAGACAUAGGAAUACUCGAUAAAUUUUGUUUGCCUAACGUCGUAAUUCUAAUCUUGAGAAGAAAAAAACGAAAGAUUCAUUUUGAUUAAAUCAUGAUGUGCCGAGUAUUGUCACCUUCGCCGCUAUACCUUAGAUUCUAUUCAUUUUGUAUGAAUGGCAAUAUAUGCCGUGGAAUUACUAAAUUUCCGGUAUUGUCGAAUGUGGAAAAUCAAAGAUGCAUAGAUAUAAAUAGCAAUGAAGUUAUAUCGGCACGUAUGGCUCAAUCUCACGCAGCGUCAGCCGUUAGCGAAACUUUAAAUCGUGAUGACACGCUACCUUUGAUGGAGUCAACGAGCGCGGAAGUGAUGUCGGAAACCUUUGAAUUAGCGAGUAAAUUCUUGCGACCUACCAUCGAAGAUAGGGCUCCAUUAUCCUUCGAUCAGAUACCAGGUCCCAUAAUAAUGAAGCUCUGGGAAAAAUAUUGGAAAUACGUGCCGAUUUUUGGUACGCAACUGUUUUCCAGUCUGCUAAUCAACAGAUUCAGCCAGGGACGUUUAAGUUGGAAUCGCAACAUUACGCCGGUUAAAUAUCUUUUUAAUAGAUACGGUUGUAUCGUAAGACUCAGUGGUCCAUUAUCCGGUGAUAUCGUCAUGAUUCAUAGACCAGAACAUAUAGGAGAAGUUUUUAAACAAGAAGGCGAUGCACCUAUUCGCAGUGGUAUCGAUGUUCUUGAGCACUAUCGUCUUCACUAUCGGAAAUAUCGUCUCGCAGGUGCUUUUUCAAUGCAAUGCUCGGAAUGGUUAGAAUUGAAAGAAAAAGUACACAAAUCGUUCAACAAGAUAGACUCAAAGUUUCUCAGAAAGCUUGAAAUAAUUUCCGAAGAUUUUAUUGGUCAAAUACGAAAAAUACGUAAUAGACAGGAUGAAGUUCCUAAUAAUUUUAAUGAAGAGAUUGCUCGCUGGGGCUCGGAAUGUUUCUUCGCCCUUAUAUUCGAUAAGAAGCUUGGAUUUCUUGAUUCAACAGGGCAGAAUCCUACUUCGGAGCCAGCAAUAUUCAUUGAUGCGCUUGCGACCGCCCACAGAUAUUUAAGUCGUUGCGAAACUGGUUUUCAAGUAUGGAGAUUCUUUGAUACUCCCUUUUCCAAACGGCUUUUUUCGGCGUGCGAUGUUAUCGAUGGUAUUAUAAGUAAAUACAUUCGUCAAGCACAAAAUAUGUUUCGAACCCGAUCGCCGUUGUCUUGUUCCGAUGAAACUUCGCCCAUUCUAGAAAAGUUGUUAUUAGCCCAACGUCUUCAUCCCGAUGAUGUUUCCACCUUAUUGAUGGACAUGGCAAUUUUGGGAGUUCAAGCAAUGACAAACUGCGAAGCGUUUCUUUUAUAUUUCUUGGCGAAGAGUCCCAGAGUUCAAAAAAAAUUAUACGAAGAGAUCGUUUCUGUUAUUCCUAACGCGGAAUCUUCGAUAACCGAAACUAAUUUGCAAGACAUGCCGUAUUUAAAAGCUUGCUUGAAAGAAAGUCUAAGAUUGCGACCUGCUUUUCCCUACAUUACCAGACUAUUACCAAAUUCGAUAUGUCUCCAUGGAUAUACAGUACCAAAAGGGUCAAAUAACGUCGCAACGCGAAGAAAAUUUCGAAGAUCCGGAGAAAUUUCGUCCGGAAAGAUGGUUAACGAAUCAAAUGGAUGAUGAUUUUCAAGAGUAUAGUUUUUUACCAUUUGGACAUGGCGCACGAUCUUGUCUGGGAAGACAUAUGGCGGAAAUAAAAAUGGCAUUGCUUACGGCAAAGUUGGUCCGGGAGUUCAAAAUCGAAUAUAAUUACGCCGAUAUUGGAACAAGUUUUUAUAUGAUGAAUGUACCUGAUAAACCUCUUCGUUUUCGAUUUAUCGAUAGAGAUUGAAAUAAUGAUUAUUACAUACUUAGAUCUGACAAAAUAAUUUUCUUAUAAAAAGUUUUUUCUACGAGUUAAGAAAUAUGAAUUAUACAGGAACUAACAGUAACUAGACAUUAUAUUAAUUCUAUCGAGUGUUGUAUUUAUAUUCGGUAACUUCUCUCAGUUAUAAGUGUGUUCAGUAAUUGCUAUUACUAUUUAUUUUAAUAAAAGUAUGUUAUAUAUUAACUUUUAUCUUUUAACAUUCAAAUUUAUUUGAAAGAAAGCACUAUUUGGGAGAUAACAAUUUCAUUAUACCUACUGCCGGAAACGGAUAAUAUACAAUGGUAGUUUCAUAAAUAUUACAGAACGUUUACGGUGGAUAAUUUGAGUUAUCGUUCAAUUGUUGAAUAAUAAUAAUGGAAUCCAUCAUGAAUAGAAAAUACUGAAAAAUUUCAUUUUAAAUAAAUUAUUUAUUAAUAAUUGAUAUAAACCAAAACAAGAUUGUAACUUAAAAUGUGUUAAGGUUACUGACCUUGUAAACGAAGUGAUGGCCAAAGUCAAAUAGACCCACCCCGGAAAGCCUUAGUCAUUUUUGUGUAAUUUGUAGAAUAAAUUGGAAAAUCUAUAGAACAGAAAGUUUUAUAGACGAUUAUAAUGUCAUCGACAUUUCUCAUCUUCGUUUAUAUAAUUUGAUUCGAUAAAGCUAUCUUACCUCUUCUUGUCUUUCUGGAUCGUACGUGAAAUCUCUUAAAAUAUGAAGGGCGUGUUCCGUAUAUUUCACCUAAAUUACAUUGUAGUCACUUAUAUAUUUUAAAAAGUAUUUAUUACUUUGUAAACAAGUAAAAUACAUUUAUUUAUCAUUGUUAUUACCUUUGUGCAACAUUUUUCGAUUGUGUUAUUUAUAAAUGUCACGUUAAACAAUGAUAUAACCAUCGACAAUACUACAGGCGUAAAAUCAAACAUAUAGGAUAAUGUAAAUUUAAAAUAUAUAUGUUGUGCCUGUACAUAUCCCAAUAUAUAUAUUAAUUGAGUCACCAUUUCAAUAGUUAGUUGUAUUUCAAAUGUUUUGUGAAAUUCAUAACAUGUUUUUGAAAGUUCCAGGUGUACGUGCCUUUGGUAAUAUAUUUUCAAUAGAUUAAGUAGGGAUAUUUUGUAAGAUUAUAAAUAAACAAUAAUUAUUGUAUAUUUACAUUAUUGUUAAUAAACUUCGUUUAUACUGAGGAGUA